GCUGGUGUGGCUCUGUGGUUGAGCGUCUAUCUAUGAACCAGGAGGUGGCAGUUCGAUUCUGAUCAAGGGCA
rnacentral:tRNA from 1 species